CCAAUUCCGGGAAGGAUUUUGUUGUUGGUCUUGUUGUUGUUAUUGUUAGUGGAAGAAAAAAAAAACUUUAUCCAGAAUGUGUUGUUCCAGCAGAUUCCAGAAAGCAGCGCCGCCUCGGGCCUUAAAAGCAUUAAAGCAAAGUAAACAAGAGCAACCGCUGAUAACAAGAAUUCAAUUUAAAACAAAGACACAGAAACCUGUUGUGCUGGAAUCAGCAGAACAUUUGCAUCUUGAGGAGAGGAACUUUUACUGCAUUGCAUUUUCAGCAGUACUGUGCUUACUUCAGUGAAACAGCCAGUCAAGUCAAGUAAAAAGAAGCUCCUAAUUGCAGAUGGGACGCUGCUGCUGUCGUAUUAUCAUCCUGUAAUGAAAGUCAUAAUUCUGUUCCUUUAUUAAUCAGGGGACACCACAGCA